UAACUCCAAUUCCAAAGCAAGAUAACGGAGCGCGGAGGGAGGCAGAGAGCCCGCUGGAUCUGUCGGGAGAGGACGGAGGAGAGCGCAGAGCGCAGGACGCGGCGGCUGGGAUCCAUCCUGCAUGUUGAGGCCGAUGUGACCCUCAUCCGAGUCAAGUGUUGCUGCUCAGCGUUUCACGGAGACGCAGCACGCCAAAGGGGCGCUUAAGAAGAAGGCGCGCGGCGGUGCGAGGGAGGAGAAACAAAACAAGUAAGGAGGAGAGGCAGAACAAAGGGUGGAGGGAAAAAAACAGACAUUCUUCUCUUCCUCCGAAACCUUUUCUGCAAACAGCUCGGUGGGCAGCCGGAAUC
rnacentral:lncRNA from 1 species